rnacentral:rRNA from 1 species
UGGGGAAUUUUGCACAAUGGGGGAAACCCUGAUGCAGCGACGCCGCGUGAUUUAGAAGGCCUUCGGGUUGUAAAAAUCUUUUCUAUGGGAAGAAAAUGACAGUACCAUAGGAAUAAGGACCGGCUAAUUACGUGCCAGCAGCCGCGGGAAUACGUAAGGUCCGAGCGUUGUCCGGAAUCAUUGGGCGUAAAGGGUACGUAGGCGGGUAAGCAAGGUAGAAGUGAAAUCCUAUAGCUCAACUAUAGUAAGCUUUUAAAACUGCUCAUCUUGAGGUAUGGAAGGGAAAGUGGAAUUCCUAGUGUAGCGGUGAAAUGCGCAGAUAUUAGGAGGAAUACCGGUGGCGAAGGCGACUUUCUGGCCAUAACCUGACGCUGAGGUACGAAAGCGUGGGUAGCAAACAGG